rnacentral:rRNA from 1 species
GCCAGACUCCUACGGGAGGCAGCAGUGGGGAAUAUUGCACAAUGGGGGAAACCCUGAUGCAGCGACGCCGCGUGAGUGAAGAAGUAUUUCGGUAUGUAAAGCUCUAUCAGCAGGGAAGAAAAUGACGGUACCUGAUUAAGAAGCCCCGGCUAACUACGUGCCAGCAGCCGCGGUAAUACGUAGGGGGCAAGCGUUAUCCGGAUUUACUGGGUGUAAAGGGAGCGUAGACGGUGAUGCAAGUCAGAAGUGAAAGCCCGGGGCUCAACUCCGGGACUGCUUUUGAAACUGUGUGACUGGAGUGCAGGAGAGGUAAGCGGAAUUCCUGGUGUAGCGGUGAAAUGCGUAGAUAUCAGGAGGAACACCAGUGGCGAAGGCGGCUUACUGGACUGUAACUGACGUUGAGGCUCGAAAGCGUGGGGAGCAAACAGGAUUAGAUACCCCAGUAA